CGAACGACUCCCGGCAACGGAUAUCUCGGCUCUUGCAUCGAUGAAGAACGUAGCGAAAUGCGAUACUUGGUGUGAAUUGCAGAAUCCCGUGAACCAUCGAGUCUUUGAACGCAAGUUGCGCCCGAGGCCACUAGGCCGAGGGCACGCCUGCCUGGGCGUCACAC
rnacentral:rRNA from 1 species